UCAGACGAUGCGUCAUGCAUAUCAAUAAGCGGAGGAAAAGAAACUAACUAGGAUUCCCUCAGUAACGGCGAGUGAAGCGGGAAGAGCUCAAAUUUGAAAUCUUCAAGGUUUUACCUUGACGAAUUGUAGUUUAAAGAAGUGUUUUCUGUUGAAGUUUUGGUAAAAGUUCUUUGGAAUAGGACAUCAUAGAGGGUGAGAAUCCCGUAUUUGACCAUUAUUUCCAGCUGUGUGAUACACUUUCAAAGAGUCGGAUUGUUUGGGAAUGCAGUCCAAAAUGGGUGGUAAAUUUCAUCUAAAGCUAAAUAUUGGCGAGAGACCGAUAGCGAACAAGUACCGUGAGGGAAAGAUGAAAAGAACUUUGAAAAGAGAGUUAAACAGUACGUGAAAUUGUCAAAAGGGAAGCGUUUGACACCAGUGUUGUUUUCUCGAAAAUCAAUUAAAAGAUUGGAUUUAUGCAAGUUGUAUUGACCUUAUCAGCUUGCUUCACUCUGUUUCUGGUCUUUUUUGAUGCACUUUUCGGUUAACAAGUCAACAUCAAUUUCCUUUGUUGUAAAAGGGUCAUGAAGGAAGGUGGCUUCAAUCUUCGGUAGAAGUGUUUAUAGCCUUUGAUCUCUGCAGUCGGAGAGACUGAGGUCUGCAGCGUAGGAUCCUUCGGGGUUAGAUACAUUUGUGCUAAGCUACAGCUUUUCAUAGACAACUUGUUGACUAUGUUUAGUCUUGUAACUUACCCGCUUAUGCUAUUUUACCUACGCUUAGGAUGUUGAUAUGCAUGACUGAUAU
rnacentral:rRNA from 1 species